rnacentral:tRNA from 1 species
GGGAGAAUAGCUUAAUUAAGGUAGAGCUUUGGUUUUCAAAACCAACGGUUGAGGGUUCGAAUCCUUCUUCUCCUG